rnacentral:lncRNA from 1 species
UAGGGAUUAGAUAAGUUACAGAUUGUAGGCUGAUCUGUAGGCUAAAUAAUAGGAACUAGAUAUGUCUAUACUUGUAUAUAUACCGUUAUGAUUGAUGAAUAAAAGGUAAGGAAAAUUCAUUCCCUUUUUCUGAGUUUAACAUGGUAUCAGCGCAGUUCUGUGUAGAGCAGUUCUGUUCAUAAGUUUUUUUAAGAAAAAAAAAAAAAAUUUUUUUCUGGGCUGUUGGGCGUGAGGGAGGCUGCUGCCAUAUUCAAGGUGCAGGCGUUAAAGGUUCCUCUAAAGACACCGCCAACUCAGGGAGGUACGUUUUUGGGUCAACAUCGAUCUAGGUGUGGGACCUGGCUACGACAGGUUCUCUUGUGGGUAAUCUGUUAUCUUGUUGAAUUUUCUUAGCAAUUAUGUCUGACAAAAAGACUGGAGUUUCUGAUAUAGUUCCGUUGGUUUCAAAAAUCACGGAACACAAAUUAAAUGGAAUUAAUUUUCUUGAUUGGAACCAUACUAUUGAAUUAUAUCUACUCAGUAUUUCUAUGGAUGGUCAUCUGACCGAUGAUCCACCUACGGAUGACUCUAGACUGUCUUGGGUGAGAGAAGAUGCUCGCUUGUAUAUACAAAUUCGUAAUUCUAUUGAUAGUGAGGUGGUGGGCCUGGUUACCCAUUGUAAGACAGUGAAACAGUUAAUGAACUAUUUGCAGUUCUUAUAUUCGGGAAAAGGAAACUUCUCUCGUAUCUAUGAUGUUUGCAAGGAUUUUUACAGGGCAGAUAAAGGAGAUAAGUCUCUCACCAGUUAUUUUAUGGACUUCAAGAAAACAUAUGAAGAGCUCAAUAUGCUGCUUCCCUUCAGUAUCAAUGUGGAGGAACAACGGAAUCAGCGAGAGAAGAUGGCUGUUAUGAGUUUUCUCGCCGGUCUUCCGUCUGAAUUUGAGACUGCCAAAUCUCAAAUUCUUUCCGGAUCAGAAAUUUCCUGUCUAGAAGAUGCUUUUCGAAGGAUUCUUCGUACAGAGAAUACGUUACCUGUUCUAUCCACUCAGCCUAACAGUGUUCUUAUUAGCCGUACUACCACAUUUGAUUCAGGAAGACAACACUACAAGAGUAGUGGCAACAGUAAGAGCAUGGGGUCGGGGUCCAACAACUCUGAUAAAAUUACUGAAAAUCGUGGAAAGGAGCAAGGAGAAAUUGUAUGUCACUACUGUCAUAAACCAGGACAUAUCAAGCGGGACUGUCGAAAGCUACAGUAUAAGAAAGCUCAAUUUGCACAUGUUGCAUCUAGUUCUGAGACCUCUGAAAAGUCUGUUACAAUCUCUGCAGAUGAGUAUGCCAGAUUGACUCAGUUUCACGAAACAGUGAAACAGCCAUCCGGUCGUGUUACUGCACUUGUUGAGACAGGUAAACCCAAUACAUGCCUUGUUUCCUCUUCUCCAAAAUGGGUCAUUGAUUCUGGUGCUACAGAUCACAUGACAGGUAAUCCCAAUUUACUUUCUAACUUUCAGCCACAUAAAUCUAUCACUCCUGUUACUUUAGCCGAUGGUUCAACAUCCAGUGUUAUUGGGUCUGGAACCACUAAACCUACAUCAUCUCUCCAUUUGUCAUCUGUUCUGAGUCUACCACGACUAUCGUUUAAUCUGAUUUCUGUCAGCAAACUUACUCGUGCCCUUAAUUGUUGUGUCUCAUUUUUUCCUGGUUCUUGUGUAUUUCAGGAUCUCAUGACGAAGAAGAUUAUUGGUAAGGGACAUGAGUCUGACGGUCUCUACAUUCUUGAUACACAGAAACCAGGGUCUAUAGCCUGUGCUGGAACAGUCUCUCCUCUUGAAGAACACUGUCGAUUGGGUCAUCCUUCGCUUUCUAUGUUAAAGCAACUUUGUCCUCAGCUUUCGAACAUUACUUCAUUAGAUUGUGAGUCGUGUCAGUUUGCUAAACACCAUCGUCUUAGUUCUAGUCCUAGAAUCAAUAAACGAGCUACUGCUCCCUUUGAGUUAGUCCAUUCCGAUGUUUGGGGUCCUUGUCCGGUGACUUCUAAAACUGGUUUCAGAUAUUUUGUUACCUUUGUUGAUGAUUAUUCUAGAAUGACAUGGCUUUAUUUGAUGAAAAAUCGCUCAGAAUUAUUCUUUCACUUUUCUUCCUUUUGUGCUGAAAUACGAACCCAAUUUGGUAAACCAGUACAAAUUUUAAGAAGUGAUAAUGCAAAAGAAUAUGUUUCAGGAAAUUUUCAGAAAUACAUGCUUGAGCAGGGUAUUCUCCAUCAAACUUCUUGCGUUGACACCCCUUCUCAAAAUGGGGUUGCUGAGAGAAAGAAUAGACAUCUUCUUGAAACUUCUCGAGCCUUGUUAUUUCAAAUGAAGGUUUCUAAAUGCUUCUGGGCUGAUGCUGUCUCUACUGCUUGUUUUCUAAUCAAUCGUAUGCCUUCCUCUGUUUUAUCUGGUAAUACUCCUUUACACACUCUAUUCCCGAAUAGACAAUUGUUUCCUAUAGAACCAAAGAUAUUCGGGUGUACUUGUUUUGUUCGGGAUGUUCGUCCUCAAGUUACAAAACUUGAUCCUAAGUCCUUAAAGUGUAUAUUCCUGGGUUAUUCCCGUGUACAAAAAGGGUAUCGUUGUUAUUGUCCUAGUCUUGGUAAGUAUCUUGUGUCUGCCGAUGUCACUUUUUUGGAACAAACACCUUUCUCCUCAUCUUCAGGUUCUGUGAGUCCGGGGGAGGAUGAUGAUUUGUUAAUCUAUAGUGUCAUACCAAAUUUGGAUUCGCCUCCCUCUACACCAGUUAAGCCUCCCAUCAAAUACACCUACUCGCGUCGCCCACAUCUGCCCAGUUCUGACUUGGUCCUGGAGUCUCCAACAUCAUGUCCUGAUGAACCAGUAUCUUCGUCAUCAGAUCCGACUACCAAUGAUGAUCUUGAUCUCCCUAUUGCUCAAAGAAAAGGUAAACGUGCAUGUACUUAUCCAAUCUCUUCAGUUGUUUCCUACAAUCAUUUGUCUUCCUCUUCUCGUGCUUUUCUUACAUCCCUAGACACUAUUUCUGUACCCAAAACUGUUCAAGAGGCAUUAGCUCAUUCCGGAUGGCGGAAUGCUAUGAUUGAGGAAAUGAAUGCUCUAGAUGUCAAUGGUACGUGGACUUUAGUUACCCUACCUGCAGGUAAACGAGCUAUUGGAUGUAAAUGGGUGUUUACGGUCAAAAUGAAUCCUGAUGGUUCCAUUUCUCGAUUGAAAGCUAGACUUGUUGCUAAAGGAUAUGCUCAGACUUAUGGCGUGGACUAUCAUGAUACUUUUUCUCCUGUAGCUAAACUUGCUUCUAUCAGGUUAUUUAUCUCCCUUGCAGCAGCUUAUGACUGGCCUCUGCAUCAAUUAGACAUCAAGAAUGCCUUUCUUCAUGGUGAUCUUCAGGAGGAGGUCUAUAUGGAGCAACCACCAGGUUUUGUUGCUCCAGGGGAGUAUGGGAAAGUCUGUCGUCUGAACAAAUCUCUAUAUGGUUUGAAACAGAGUCCUCGGGCUUGGUUUGGAAAAUUUAGCCAAGCUCUUGAAAAGUUUGGGAUGCAAAAGAGCAAGUCCGAUCAUUCUGUUUUCUAUAAACAAUCUCAUGGGGGUAUUAUUCUGUUAGUUGUAUAUGUGGAUGAUAUUGUCAUCACAGGUAGUGACCCUAGAGGAAUUUCGUCUCUGAAGUCCUUUCUUACUACUCAGUUCCAUACCCAAGACUUGGGGAUGUUAAAGUAUUUCUUGGGAGUUGAAGUUAGCAGGAGUAAGAAAGGAAUCUUCCUAUCUCAGAGGAAGUAUGUGCUUGAUUUACUGAUGGAGUCGGGAAAAUUGGGUGCUAAACCAUGUAGUACCCCAAUGGUUCCUAAUUUACAGUUAACCAAAGAAGGUGAGUUGUUUGCAGAUCCUGAGAGGUAUAGAAGACUUAUUGGAAAGUUGAAUUAUCUUACUGUGACACGUCCUGAUAUUGCUUAUUCAGUGAGUGUGCUGAGCCAGUACAUGUCAUCACCAACUAUUGACCAUUGGAAAGCAGCAGAACAAGUUUUACACUAUUUAAAAGGUGCUCCUGGACGUGGUAUCCUAUAUGGCAAUUAUGGUCAUACUAGGAUCGAAUGUUUCUCAGAUUCUGAUUGGGCAGGGUGUAAGGAAGAUAGGAGAUCUACUUCAGGAUAUUGUGUUUUUGUUGGGGGAAAUUUGGUUUCAUGGAAGAGUAAGAAACAGAAUGUAGUCUCACGAUCAAGUGCAGAAGCUGAAUACAGAGCUAUGGCAAAGUCUGUGUGUGAAAUCAUAUGGGUAUAUCAGCUCCUGAGUGAAGUAGGAAUUAAGGUCUCGGUACCUGCAAAGCUACGAUGUGAUAAUCAAGCUGCACUUCACAUUGCUUCUAAUCCAGUCUUUCAUGAACGAACGAAACAUAUUGAGAUUGAUUGUCACUUCAUUCGUGAAAAGAUCCAACAGGGUUUGAUCACUACAGGUUAUGUGAAGACUGGGGAACAAUUAGGUGAUAUAUUCACAAAAUCUCUUAACAGGGUCCGUACUGAUUAUCUAUGUAACAAGUUGGGCAUGAUUGAUAUCUAUGCUCCAACUUGAGGGGGAGUGUUACAGAUUGUAGGCUGAUUUGUAGGGAUUAGAUAGCUGAUUUGUAGGGAUUAGAUAAGUUACAGAUGUAGGCUGAUUUGUAGGGAUUAGAUAGCUGAUUUGUAGGGAUUAGAUAAGUUACAGAUUGUAGGCUGAUCUGUAGGCUAAAUAAUAGGAACUAGAUAUGUCUAUACUUGUAUAUAUACCGUUAUGAUUGAUGAAUAAAAGGUAAGGAAAAUUCAUUCCCUUUUUCUGAGUUUAACAAACUCAUUGCUUGUUGCUUUGACCAAUGAUUAAAUACAUUUCUACAGAAGGCGGCUUGAAUCCUUUUUACAAAUUUCAUAUAUUUGCAAUAGGCGCUUCUAUUACUUGAAUUUAGAUAUCUUAAGUGACCCACAUCUUAUAUUAUAUUGAUAAACAUGAAAGCCUAGGAGCCAAGGAAGCAAUACACGAAAUAUUACUCAAUGUGACAAUAUGUCUACACAAAAGAAAAAAAAAAGAAAAAGAAAGCA